UACGGAGGGUGCGAGCGUUAAUCGGAAUUACUGGGCGUAAAGCGUGCGUAGGUGGCUCGUUAAGUCAGAUGUGAAAGCCCUGGGCUCAACCUGGGAACUGCAUUUGAAACUGGCGAGCUAGAGUUUGAGAGAGGUAAGUGGAAUUUCAGGUGUAGCGGUGAAAUGCGUAGAGAUCUGAAGGAACACCAGUGGCGAAGGCGACUUACUGGCUUAAAACUGACGCUGAGGUACGAAAGCGUGGGUAGCAAACAGG
rnacentral:rRNA from 1 species